ACGAACGCUGGCGGCACGCCUAACACAUGCAAGUCGAACGCUGUCAUACCCAGCAAUGGGUGUGGUGGAGGGGCGGACGGGUGAGUAACGCGUGGGAACCUGCCUCAUGGUGCGGAACAACUCCGGGAAACCGGGGCUAAUGCCGCAUGUUCCCGUAGCAAUACGGGCAAAGAUUUAUCGCCAUGAGAGGGUCCCGCGUCGGAUUAGGUAGUUGGUGGGGUAACGGCCUACCAAGCCUGCGAUCCGUAGCUGGUCUGAGAGGAUGGCCAGCCACACUGGGACUGAGACACGGCCCAGACUCCUACGGGAGGCAGCAGUGGGGAAUCUUGGACAAUGGGGGCAACCCUGAUCCAGCGAUGCCGCGUGGGUGAUGAAGGCCUUCGGGUUGUAAAGCCCUUUCGCCGGGGACGAUAGUGACGGUACCCGGAGAAGAAGCCUCGGCUAACUCCGU
rnacentral:rRNA from 1 species